AGCUUUUGAAUGUGUUUGCUCCUGCUUCUCUAGUUCUUUUAAUUAUGGUGUUAGGGUGUCAAUUUUAGAUCUUUCCUGCUUUCUCUUGUGGGCAUUUAGUGCUAUAAAUUUCCCUCUGCUUUGAAUGUGUCGGGAUAAUAUAUUAUGUGAAGGAACAAUACUCUCUAAAAGAUUUUAUUUUAUAGGAAGUCAUAGAGGACACAUAAUUUACCAAUGCUCUCAGGAAGGCUCUGGUGAGAGGAAUCAAGAUCAUCCUAAUAUCAGUGAUGGAUCCCCUACAAAGACCAGGAAUGAUGGUAUAAAAGUAUGGCCCUUGCAGGAAUCAGAAGCAUCCUGGAGAUUGACCAUAGAUAGAAUACCACAAGCUCAACCAACUGGUGAUCUUGACUACAGCUCUGAUGCCAGAUAUGAGGUUCAGCUAUGUUGUCGCAUGUAUCAGUACUUCAUUUUUUAUGGCUGAAUAAUACUCCGUGUUACGGAUAUACCACAUUUGUUCAUCCAUUCAUCCAUUGAUGGGAUUUGGAUUGUUUCCCCCUUUCAGACCCUUCAAGAAUGAGUGUGUGGGUCACACCACCAGAUAAUUCACCCAGACCUGCAAAGGUAGGUGAUAGCUGCUAAGACAAUUCAGAAUGGAUGGUUGGAGAGAGAGAUGAAUACCAGUUGUGGCCCCAAGACCAACUGCAGUGAUGUGGCUGAGUUUGACCCACUAACCUUUCUUUUUUAAAAGUCUUACCCUCAGGAUGAGAGGCCCACUGAGGAGUAGCUCCCAGGAUAUGCAUGGAGAAGUGGAUUGAUUUGGUACAAGGGGUGAAAAGUGGCAGUUAUGAAGUGUGCUAUUUAGAUCUCCAAAAGAUAACCAUCCACAGGGAGUGCAGUUAUCUGACAGCACCAGUUGCAGAUACCCUCAGGAUCUUCCUUCAGUGUCCACACCAAUGAGCUGAGGCCAUUCAUUCUGGGCAGUCCACAGGCAAUGACUGCACAUGGUGUUGGUAUCAGGGCUCAUCGUUUCCAGCUAGUGUGAGACUCCUCCUCUAUGGGCAGUCUUGGUGUUGGAGCUCACUGCUAAAUUGGUUGAGACUUUCUCAGAAUGAGCACAGUCUGAGGCUCUUCCUACCUAAUCUUACUUCUCCUUUCAUGUGAGUCAAACCUAUAUCAGGGGCAGAAAUAUUUUUUUUCCUGCUUGUGCUCUCUCUCCUCUUUAUAUUUUAUAGGCAUUAUCUCCAACAAACAUCUCGUACUUUGAACUGCAUCUUGGCUUCUUCUUUCCAAAGGACCUCCUCUCCCAGACUUGCAUCAUCAUCACUGGUAGAUGAUAACUUAGGCUUGAAUAAAUUAAGUGGCUCACCUCAGGUCCCACAAAUGUUAAAUGGACUAUUUUUUCACAAUACUUAUUCUCAUACUGAAUAAUAUCCAUGAAAUCACGCAAUUGAUGUGCAAGUUAUAAUUCCCUAAUUCACAUUGAAAGUAUAACUAACUAUUAAAUUUAAAAUAAAAAACAAGACUAAGUCUGGUCAACUUAGUUAUCCCACACUGGAAAAGUACAUAAUAUCACAUUUUUUUUUUGUUGAGAAUUUGUUUGUUCUAUGAAAGCAUAUUUGGCCAAGAGUUAAUUUUUGAGAUUUAGUCAAUGUAGUCAUUCUGAAGAAAUGGAGUACCUAUCGUCUUACUGAGAAACCAAUUUCAAUGCUUAUGGCUGCCAGCCUGUGUUAGACACAUCCAUCAAAACAGCAAAGGAGAUAGUCCAGUUUUAUGCCCUCCAAGCCAAUAUUCUAUUCCUAUGGCCUCUAAAAUGGAGUAUGUGUACUUAAAGAAAUAUGCAAGAUAAUACACAGAGUGACAAAGGAAAUAUUUUAACUAUUUUGUGAACAUAAAAUUAAACUUUUACUAAUAGGUUGGUGCAAAAGGAAUUGCAGCUUUUGCCAUUACAUUCAAUAGCAAAAACCACAAUUACUUUUGAACCAACCAAAUACUUAAAAUAGGCGGACACCAGUUCAUAUAUUCCACAUGCAUAAACUAUGUAUGCUCAAAAAUGGAGACAACUGUUAAAACCUGCUGUCUAAAAUUAACAAAACACAAGCCUUCCAUUCUAGUGGAGAAGAGGACAAAUAUAAUAAAUUAAUGCUAUAUGCAUAUACACUAUACAUAAAGUAUGUCCUAAGAGCUAUGGAGAAAAAUGUAGAAAAGGAGAACAGGGAGUGCUAGUGUGAGAUUCAAGAUUAAAUGUGGUUCUGAGGUAGGACCUCACUGUAAAGGUGAUGACUAAGCAAAGACCCAAAGAGGGUGAGAAAGCCAGCUCUGUAGGUAACUUGAGAAAAAAGUGCUCCAGAGAGAGGAACUAGGAUUGUCCUUUUGCUAGGGGCACAGCCUAAUAAAAGUAUAACUAACGUCCUUUUUUGUUACAAAGCUGGACAUUCAAAACAUUAAACAUAUUAUAACCAAUUUUUGCCAGAGGUUGCAAGUGUUUUUUGUGAAAAAUCAGACCUUGGCGAUGACCUUGAGCAGUAGGAUAUAAAUAACUCCCACAAGCUUAAUGUUCCAAUAAUGGAACACUAGGCAUAGAUAGGUUAAAGAUCAUUGCUAUCCCCAUACUCUGGACCCCUGCCUGAUGAAUACAUUAAGCUGACACCUGAGACACUGAUUCACCAAUUAACAAACUUCAGGCAUGUUGUUAAUGAUAGAACCUUCAUGACAGUGAUCCAGAGUUCCAGAUUCUAGAGUAUUCAGAGGUGGAAAUUCAUAGUCCAUGCUCAAGAUCGAAUGGCAUCUCUCAGACUGGAAGACCUUUCUGAAGUCAGUUCCAGACAUCCCUGGAAGGCUGGAUAAUUUGGGAAAAGGCUGACUCAAUGUAAGGUAAUACAGCAGACCAAAGCCCCCAUAGUUCAUGCCAGAAGUGACAAAGCGGAAAAACACUCAGGUAGACAAGCACUCAGGGACCGUUCUAGAGGCAAGUGGCCUAACCUUUUCUCCAUCAUGCAGGUUUGGCUUAAAUUCUUACAGCUAAAAUCAUGAGUCCUUGGUUAUGACAAAAAUGUUCUAAGAUAUGACACUUACAAUAACUAUGAUGUUAAACAUUCUGCUAAAACUUCUCUGGGUGAAGAAAAGAUCACAUUUUUGGAUAUAGAUAUAAAAUCUGGGUGAACUGAGGCAAACAGAAAUUAAGAGUCUGCACUUCGGAGUCAGACUGUUGGGGUUUAAGUCCCAGCUUUCUCACCUGCUAGGCAGGCAGCACUGGGUGUUUCUUAAGGUUUUUUAGUCUCCAAGCCUUUAAAAUGGGAUAAGAGUAUACACCUCAUAGGGUUGUUAUGAUGAGAAAUAAAUGAAUAUGUGAAAAAAAUGCCUGAAACAUAUAAAACAUGGUAUAAAUGAAUGCUUUUUAAAUAAAACAAUUCUUUUUAGCAUGGAUAGUGGUUUUUUUUGUGUGUGUGUGAGACAGGGUCUCACUCUGUCACCCAGGUUGGAGCCUCAACAUCCUGGGCUAAAGCAAUCCUCCCACCUCAGUUUCCCAAGUAGCUGGGACUAGAGGCACGUGCCACAUGCACCCAGCUAAUUUUUAAAUUAUUUUGUAGAGAUGAGGUCUUGCUAUAUUGCCCAGGUUGGUCCUGAAUUCCUAGUGUCAAGUGAUCCUUCUGCCUCGGCUUCCCAAAGUAUUGGGAAUACUGGCAUAAGUCAUCACACUCGGCAAAACAGAAUUCUCAUUUAAACUUCCUUUGCAACGUUACUUCCAAAGACUUGCCUCUUUCACCUUCAUCAAAGAAAAAAGACUUACUGACAAUUCCUGAGAGACUUUUACACAGAAAUGUUUAAAACAGAACUUUUUAUACAUUAUAAUUCUAUAAGCUCUGCCAAAUUUAUAUCAAACCUUUAACUGAAUUUCAAAGUGAAUGGUGUAAAAGAUGACCACAAAGAUUAUCAAAUGAAUACUUUAUUAGAGACAUAACACGUAUAAAAUAAAUUUCUUUUCAUCAUGGAGUUACCAGAUU
rnacentral:lncRNA from 1 species